ensembl:snoRNA
UGGAUUAAUGUUGACAACUGGUGGCAUAAAAGUCAUGGAUGAUGAAUAUGAGAAGAAAAUAAUCUAG